rnacentral:snRNA from 1 species
GUCUUUUCGUAGACAUCUAAUAAACUUAGAACGAUAUAGAGAAGAUUAACAUGGUCCCUGCGCAAGGAUGACGUGCAUAAUUCGAGAAAUGGUCCAAAAAAAU